GAGAAAAACAGAUGAAAAAUUAUAAGCAAAGCUCGAUUCAGAAGUUGCACAUCCAUAUCCCUAAAGAAUAAAGUACCACAGAAUACAAUACACAGAUUAGGUUGCUUGGACACGAGGCACCCAAUCAUAACCCAAAAAGCUAGAAAGUUGCAACACAAGUAUUUAUGGUGUAUGUAAAUGGUAUUAAAC